rnacentral:sRNA from 1 species
GACCGCAGAGGCAGAGGGGUGGGUGGGCUGGCCCAUGGCUGAGACCUCUCUCCCAGAGCUGGGGGGAGAGGACAAAGCCACACCUUGCCCCAGCAUCCUGGAGCUGGAGGAGCUCCUGAGGGCGGGGAAGUCUUCUUGCAGCCGCGUGGACGAAGUUUGGCCCAACCUUUUCAUAGGAGAUGCGGCCACGGCAAACAACCGCUUUGAGCUGUGGAAGCUGGGCAUCACUCACGUGCUGAACGCCGCCCACGGGGGCCUCUACUGUCAGGGCGGCCCUGACUUCUACGGCAGCAGUGUGAGCUACCUGGGGGUGCCAGCCCACGACCUCCCUGAUUUUGACAUCAGUGCCUACUUCUCCUCUGCGGCUGACUUCAUCCACCGUGCCCUCAACACGCCUGGGGGAUGGACUCACUGCAGAAGCAGGACCUCCGGAGGCCCAAGAUCCAUGGGGCAGUCCGGGCAUCUCCCUACCAGCCGCCCACGUUGGCUUCGCUGCAGCGCUUGCUGUGGGUCCGUCAGGCUGGCACGCUGAACCAUAUCGACG